UGCAACAAAAACGGUUUAAUUUGUGUGUUAAAUGGCGACGGAGGAGCUCCUCCUCAACGCUCUCUCUCUUCCAAAGAUCUCAUGCUAUUCUUCGUAGCCUCUCUUCCUCAGUUAUUUGGAUAUCUGGAUUUGGGUAUUUGAGUUUUUUCCUUUUUUCCCACUGUGUAAUGGUAGUUGUGGAGGUUGAGGUGAAGGAGAAGAAGAAGGAGAAGGAGAAGGAGAAGAGGAGAGGUAGUGGUAUUGGUAUUGGUGGGUUUUGGUUUUGGUGGACUGUGACAUUGGUAUGCCUUGUGGAGGUGGAGAGGAUAAGCAAUGGGGUUGUGGGAAAUGUGGUGCCGCUGUUAAUUUGCAAAGAGUUGGUUCAAUUGUCCGUGACAUUGGCGACCCAUGCCUCUCGCAGUCGCCUAUAAAGGUGGUUAUGGCUGUGAACAAAAUGCUUAAACCGGAGAAGUGGCAGGCAACAUUUGAUAGCGAUGGGAAGAAUUUUUGUUUUCAGAAGGCACUCAAAUUAAUAGUAUUGGGGGGCGUUGAUCAAUCUAUAAGGCCAGAAGUGUGGGAAUUUUUACUUGGUUGUUAUGCUCUGGGUAGUACUGCGGAGUCUCGAAGGCAGUUGCGGACAGCCCGGAGGGAACGUUACAGGGACCUGAUUAAGCAGUGCCAAAUGAUGCAUUCAAGCAUUGGAACUGGUUCACUUGCUUAUGUUGUUGGGUCCAAGGUUAUGGAUGUUAGGGCACCGUCUAAAGAUGACGAAGGGGGGGAAGCUAAAGUUGAACAUAGACAAACUUCUUUUGAUAAUACUAACAAAGUAGAGAACUAUUGUGAUAGGAAUAAUAAUUGUACAGAUACAUCAUAUGCAUGCCAACAAGAGAGUUCUAGUGAGUCGGCCGACCUUGUCAGUGUGAGGGAAAGCACAGAUAGUGCAGCAUAUGAUUCUUCUUGUUUCAUACAUACUUCUAGUCCACAUGACUGCAGCUCCCCAAAGCUAGGGAGAGAAGCAGAUGGAACAAAAUAUGUACCAAAAAGUUAUUUUGAAUAUCCUACUUUAUCGGUCGCUGAUUUGUUUGAAAAGUGUGAAGAAGAUGAUGAAGGUCGCGUGUCUGAUGAUAAACUUUCUGCGCCAUGUAAGUCAAGGUUGAAAAAGGACAGCAUGCACAGUUUUCAAGUCAAUAACAAUGUAGAUUUAGUUAUUGAAUCAAAUUGCUCACCAUCCAAGAAUGUUUCACGCACCAUUAACUCUGAAAUUGAAAUGGUUCGUACUGAUGCCCAUCAUUCAGUAUUGCAGUCCAAUAAUAUGGGUAAUAAGAAAGAAAUAGUAAACAGGAUGAGAAUAUCAGAUGUACCAGAUACAGAAUUUAGAAAUACAACAAUGUCUCAAGGAGGGACCGUGAGUGAAGACAGAGUAUCUGAAUGGCUUUGGACUCUCCACCGAAUAGUUGUUGAUGUGGUAAGAACAGACAGUCAUCUUGAAUUCUAUGAGGAUGCAAAAAAUUUAGCUAGGAUGUCAGAUAUUCUUGCUGUUUAUGCGUGGGUUGAUCCAGCAACCGGAUAUUGUCAAGGUAUGAGUGACUUGCUGUCUCCAUUUGUCGUCCUGUUUGAGGAUAAUGCUGAUGCGUUUUGGUGCUUUGAAAUGCUUCUAAGGAGAAUGCGGGAAAAUUUUCAGAUGGAAGGACCAACUGGGGUAAUGAAGCAGUUGCAAGCAUUGUGGAAUAUCUUGGAACUCACAGACAGGGAAAUGUUUGCACACCUGUCACACAUAGGUGCUGAAAGCCUUCAUUUUGCAUUUCGGAUGCUGCUGGUACUCUUCCGUCGGGAGUUAUCGUUUGAUGAUGCUCUUUGUAUGUGGGAGAUGAUGUGGGCUGCUGAUUUUCAAGAAUCCUUGGCUUACAAUUUAGAGGACAGCUGUCUAGAAGCCUUGGUGGUACAGCUUCCUAGGGAUUUGGAAGCAGAAAUGAGGGGUGAAAGUGUGGAGGGUGGUGGUGAUAUGAAGGGCGGCUCACAUUCAAAUCAUGGAAAUCCAGAACACUCCAUGUCUGACACUGGAAUGAAAUCAGCAUCAACAUAUCAUUUUUGUGGGUUGACAAGGAAUUUUUGGUCAAAGAAUGAUCGCAUGCACAUCUGCACUGCAGUCUCAUCAACUAGGAAUGGGGAUGAUGAGCUACCGGUCUUCUGCGUUGCCGCAAUCCUCAUCAUGAACCGCCAGAAAAUUAUUCGUCAGACGCGCUCAAUUGAUGAUAUGAUAAAGAUUUUCAAUGAUAAUUUGCUGAAAAUCAGUGUCAAAAGAUGCAUCCGCACAGCGGUCAAGCUUCGGAAGAAAUAUUUCUACAAGGUGGACAGGUUGGCUUAUUGGUCCUCCCAGUUAUGCUCAUUGGGUGCUUGGCGGGCAAAAAAAGGCCCAUGACUCAGGCCAAAGCCUGGUUGGGUCAUCUGAUGGAACUGAAACACAGGCGGCCACUAACAGAAAUGGACAGAAACGACCAUUUUGUUGCAUGAAACCGUGCAUAUUGCUUUGUGGAUGCUCUUUUUGAAACUUAACUUCUGCUUGAACCAGCUUAUCAAGAAAAACAGCCCUUCAGCCCGGAAUGGUGACUAGGAUCUUUUCAUUCCCAGAUAGCACGGUGAUGACACUGAUCUGAUUACACUCACAAGUUCAAGCUGAAGCGCCAUUGCUGUUUGUAGAUUGGUCCAGUUAUUUGCACUUAUGUUGUCUCCUUCAAAUUUUUUGCAAGUCAGCAGAGAGAUUCUAAAGAGGGAAGAAGUGUGUCUGUUUUCGUGCAUGGAGGUCUGACUGCUUAGCGGAUACCUGUUACAGGUUUGACGAACAUGACUAUUUCUCAAUCUUGUAAUCUUCAUUAACAUCAUAUUUUGAAGGGCAAACUUGGUGCUGAGAGUUCUGAUAUCUUGUGGACUUGAGAAUGUGAUUACUUUGAGGGAGAGAUUUAUUGACAGUUAUACAAAAAUAUCAUAUGCUGAGAGUCAACCUAAGAAACUUUGUUUGAUAA